rnacentral:tRNA from 1 species
UCCCCUUUAGCUCAGUUGGUAGAGCACCUGGCUGUUAACCAGGGCGCCGUUGGUUCAAGUCCAACAUGGGGAG